rnacentral:misc_RNA from 1 species
CAGAGCCGUAAAAGCUACUUAAAACCAUCUGCGAAUACCUUAUCCUAGUUGCUUCGGUCGGCGCGGCUCCCUCCGGGGGACCUAUCCCCGCCUCUCAUGUAGGUGCAUGCCCGGAAGUAACGCCCAAACUCUGUAUUAUAGUGGUGUAUCUCUGAGUAGAAUACAAAUAAGAUUA